rnacentral:rRNA from 1 species
CAGCCGCCGCGGUAAUACGUAGGUCCCGAGCGUUGUCCGGAUUUAUUGGGCGUAAAGGGAGCGCAGGCGGUUUAGUAAGUCUGGAGUUAAAGGCAUUGGCUCAACCAAUGUAUGCUUUGGAAACUGUUUGACUUGAGUGCAGAAGGGGAGAGUGGAAUUCCAUGUGUAGCGGAGAAAUGCGUAGAUAUAUGGAGGAACACCGGUGGCGAAAGCGGCUCUCUGGCUUGUAACUGACGCUGAGGCUCGAAAGCGUGGGGAGCAAACAGGAUUAGAUACCCGGGUAGUCCCUGUCUCUUAUACA